GUCGUGGUGAAAACUCUCAAACCCUCCCUGCAUUCAAGCUUGGUUGCUUUGUUCUGAGGACACAGGGCAAGAGACGUGAGGUGUGAAUGUUGUAUGUUACCGAGCUGCACCAUCCAACAUGACAGCUGCCAGCCGCACGUGGCUGCCGAGAAUCAGAUGUGCCACUAAUCCCAAUGGUGAUGUGCUGUGAGUAGAAGACAGACUGUGCUAACAUUUUGGACCAGAUCAUUCUUUGUUGUGGGGCUGUCCUGUGCACGUAGAAAGUUAAGUAGCAGCCCUGGCCUCUACGCUCCAGGUAUCAACAGCACACACGCCUCCACCCACGGCUUCCCCAGAUUUUGACAACCAAAAGCAUCUUCAAACUAUUGCCAAAAUUGUCCUGGGUUGAGAACCACCCAGAUUUUGAAGGUUUUGUAAGAAAAAAAGAAUAUGAAAUAGCUCAGUAAUGAUUAUUUAAAAUAUUGACUGUAUGUAGAAGUGAGCAUUUUUGGGAUAUACUGGAUUAAGUAAAAAACAUUAUUAAAUGAA